UACGUAGGGGGCUAGCGUUGUCCGGAAUCAUUGGGCGUAAAGCGCGCGUAGGUGGCCUCGUAAGUCCGCUGUGAAAGUCAAAGGCUCAACCUUUGAAAGCCGGUGGAUACUGUGGGGCUAGAGUACGGAAGAGGCGAGUGGAAUUCCUGGUGUAGCGGUGGAAUGCGCAGAUAUCAGGAGGAACACCAAUAGCGAAGGCAGCUCGCUGGGACGUUACUGACACUGAGGCGCGAAAGCGUGGGGAGCGAACAGG
rnacentral:rRNA from 1 species